GACGAACGCUGGCGGCGUGCUUAACACAUGCAAGUCGAACGAAGUGGCGCACGGGUGAGUAACGCGUAAUCAACCUGCCCUUCAGGGGGGGACAACAGUUGGAAACGACUGCUAAUACCGCAUACUGAAGGAGGGGAUUGCGUCUGAGUAGCUAGUUGGAGGGGUAACGGCCACCCAAGGCGAUGAUCAGUAGCCGGGCUGAGAGGAUGAUCAGUCACCCUGGAAGUGAGACACGGUCCAGACUCCGACGGGAGGAAGCAGUAGGGAAUAUUGCUCAAUGGGGGAAACCCUGAAGCAGCAACGCCGCGUGGAGGAUGACACUUGUCGGAGCGUAAACUCCUUUUGUUAGGGAAGCGGUACCUAACGAAUAAGCACCGGCUAACUACGUGCCAGCAGCCGCGGUAAUAC
rnacentral:rRNA from 1 species